UACGGAGGAUGCAAGCGUUAUCCGGAAUGAUUGGGCGUAAAGGGUCCGCAGGUGGCAGUGUAAGUCUGCUGUCAAAGAAUGAGGCUUAACCUUAUCAAGGCAGUAGAAACUACACAGCUAGAGUACGGUCGGGGUAGAAGGAAUUCCUGGUGUAGCGGUGAAAUGCGUAGAGAUCAGGAAGAACACCGGUGGCGAAGGCGCUCUGCUAGGCCGCAACUGACACUGAGGGACGAAAGCUAGGGGAGCGAAUGGG
rnacentral:rRNA from 1 species